AUUGAACGCUGGCGGAAUGCUUUACACACGCAAGUCGAACGGCAGCACGGGGGCAACCCUGGUGGCGAGUGGCGAACGGGUGAGUAAUACAUCGGAACGUGCCCAGUCGUGGGGGAUAACGUAGCGAAAGUUACGCUAAUACCGCAUACGAUCUACGGAUGAAAGCGGGGGACCGUAAGGCCUCGCGCGAUUGGAGCGGCCGAUGUCAGAUUAGGUAGUUGGUGAGGUAAAGGCUCACCAAGCCGACGAUCUGUAGAUGGUCUGAGAGGACGACCAGCCACACUGGGACUGAGACACGGCCCAGACUCCUACGGGAGGCAGAAGUGGGGAAUUUUGGACAAUGGGCGCAAGCCUGAUCCAGCCAUUCCGCGUGCAGGACGAAGGCCUUCGGGUUGUAAACUGCUUUUGUACGGAACGAAAAGGCUCUGGUUAAUACCUGGGGCUCAUGACGGUACCGUAAGAAUAAGCACCGGCUAACUACGUGCCAGCCGCCGCGGUAA
rnacentral:rRNA from 1 species